UUUAUUUCCUCAAGACCUGAAAAAGAGGGAGGAGCACACUGCAUUGCAUCCCGAACGUUUCUGUGGCAGCGAGCUCUGUGGGAGCAUUUCUCCAGUGCUUUACAGAUACUCAAAAAGCCAAGUUUAAAAUCAGGAUUGUUGACGUUUGCAGAUGUGCAAGCGUAGUGGGGCCUCAGCUGGAAAGGCUGAUGGUCCAAGGAGACAAAAGGCAGCACAAGAUGAGGGCUGGGCUUAUGUGAUCACUGUUUCUCUUUUUACUGCUUUACUUUCUGCGUUCUUGUAACUUGGUCUUUUGUAUAUGUUUGAACUUCACAACCCGUGCCAAUUACUUGUAAGCAGUUUUAAGUCAACAUCAGUUAACGACUGUGGCUCUGGAGACUGGAGCCUAGAGUUGGUGUUGAGUCUUGAGGAAAUCCCUGGAGGAACUAGCUCAGGAGGGUGGUGCAGGUUCAAAAUUUGACUGUCCUUGCACUCCGUCCCAGCCAAAGGCGGCACUAACACAUCUCCUGUGAUUAGUUGAAGGCUAAGUUACUCCUCCAGCUACAAAGAGGAAAAAGGGCAUCCGCUGGUGAGGAUGUGGAUGGAGACAAGGCACGUGGUGCUCUCCACAACCCACUACCCGAGGUAGCUGCCGGGAGAAGCCCUGCCUAUCGGGCAGGCACGAUGCCUCCGCAGGCUGGCCGCCUGUGCCUCUGCGCUCUGGAAAGCAGGAGCUCUGCAGGACUUCAGGGCAGGCUGUGCUCCUCCCCACUGUCCAAAGGCUUUCUGAAUGGAGAAAUGUGCCUGUCUCCACAGAAAAAAAGAGUGGGCAGACAUCACUUGAUGGGAGCAGCACCUUGCCCAGCCAGGUCAGCCCCAGCCACCUAACACGUUUUAGAAGCACAGAUCUGAUGGCCACACACAACAGUGCAUACCCCUCUGCAAAUCUACAUAUAAAUUGUUAUUUUCAGUGUCUUCCCAAUCCAUCUAUGUUUUAAUUCAACACACCUACCGUUAAUAGGUAUCUCAGGAUCCUUUCUCUCCCCACUGAGUAUUUACGGUCAAAACACCCCUGGUUUAGACAUCUCAAACACCCUGAGUUUAGACAACUCAGCUAAAUGUUACCACUAGAUGGGAUGAAGCCAGUCUUUAUUUCAGCAGUUCUUUUUCUGUCUUUUGCUUUUUUUUUUUCCUAUCUUUUUUUUUUUUCCCAUCAGCAUAGAUGCAAUUUUUGUCAGGAUAACUUCUGUUGUGUCUGAAUUCCUCUUUUUGCUCUUCCCAGCAUUUCAGGCAGCACUGCACUGCAGCAUCACACCCCUCUCUGGAAUGCUAUUCCCUCAAGACUCCCAUGGCACAGAGAGAUGGCAGCGACAAAACAACAUCGAGCAAUUGCCUCCUGGCUAGUGUUCUCGGCAAACCCUCACGACUAUUGACUCAAACGAGCAGCCCAGCAACAGAGCAACAGAGACCAUGAUUCACAGAUUUUUACACGGAUCCCAGGACAAACAAGCCUUAGGACUGACAAAGAGGAGCAGC